rfam:Pteropus alecto contig19726, whole genome shotgun sequence.
AUCUAUGGCCAUGCCAGCCUGAACGCACCCGAUCCCAUCUGAUCUCAGAAGCUAAGCAGGGUCGGGCCUGGUUAGUACUUGGAUGGGAGACCACCUGGGAAUAUCGGGUGCUGUAGGCC